rnacentral:rRNA from 1 species
UUCCGGUUGAUCCUGCCGGACCCGACCGCUAUUGGGAUGGGACUAAGCCAUGCAAGUCGUGCGUCCCCAGCCAUGAGGGGAAGCGGCGAAAAGCUCAGUAACACGUAGUUAACCUACCCUCGGGACGGGAAUACCCUCGGGAAACUGAGGAUAAUUCCCGAUAGAUGAUUGGGCCUGGAAUGGUCUUUCAUCGAAAGGGAUAUCAUCUCAUGCGAUGAUAUCCGCCCGAGGAUGGGACUGCGGCGGAUUAGGUCGUUGGUGGGGUAACGGCCCACCAAGCCGAUAAUCCGUACGGGCUGUGAGAGCAGGAGCCCGGAGAUGGAGACUGAGACAACGCUCCAGGCCCUACGGGGCGCAGCAAGCGCGAAACCUCCGCAAUGCGCGAAAGCGUGACGGGGCCAUCCCAAGUGCCGUCCGAUAAGGGCGGCUUUUGCCCAGCGUAAACAGCUGGGCGAAUAAGGGGAGGGCAAGGCUGGUGCCAGCCGCCGCGGUAAAACCAGCUCCUCGAGUAGUCGGGAGGAUUACUGGGCCUAAAGCGUCCGUAGCCGGCCCUGUAAGUUCCCGGUCAAAUCCAGCGGCUCAACCGUUGGAUCGCUGGGGAUACUGCAGGGCUUGGGAACGGGAGAGGCCGAGGGUACUCACGGGGUAGGGGUGAAAUCCUGUAAUCCCGUGGGGACCACCGGUGGCGAAGGCGCUCGGCUGGAACGUGUCCGACGGUGAGGGACGAAAGCCAGGGGAGCGAACCGGAUUAGAUACCCGGGUAGUCCUGGCCGUAAACGAUGCGGGCUAGGUGUUCGGGUGGCUACGGGCUACCCGAGUGCCGUAGAGAAGUCGUUAAGCCCGCCGCCUGGGGAGUACGGCCGCAAGGCUGAAACUUAAAGGAAUUGGCGGGGGAGCACCACAAGGGGUGAAGCCUGCGGUUUAAUUGGAUUCAACGCCGG